UGCAAGUCGAACGGGAUCCUAGCUUGCUAGGUGAGAGUGGCGGACGGGUGAGUAACACGUGGGAACCUGCCUUUUGGUUCGGGAUAACCGCGGGAAACUGCGGCUAAUACCGAAUGCUCCCGAGAGGGGAAAGAUUUAUCGCCAGAAGAGGGGCCCGCGUCCGAUUAGGUAGUUGGUGGGGUAAUGGCCUACCAAGCCGACGAUCGGUAGCUGGUCUGAGAGGAUGAUCAGCCACACUGGGACUGAGAUACGGCCCAGACUCCUACGGGAGGCAGCAGUGGGGAAUAUUGGACAAUGGGGGCAACCCUGAUCCAGCAAUGCCGCGUGAGUGAUGAAGGCCUUAGGGUUGUAAAGCUCUUUUGCCAGGGAAGAUGAUGACUGUACCUGGAGAAUAAGCCCCGGCUAACUUCGUGCCAGCAGCCGCGGUAAUACGAAGGGGGCUAGCGUUGUUCGGAAUUACUGGGCGUAAAGGGCGCGUAGGCGGCCGAUUAAGUUAGGUGUGAAAGUCCUGGGCUCAACCUGGGGACUGCACUUAAUACUGGUUGGCUUGAAUUCGGGAGAGGAUAGCGGAAUUCCCAGUGUAGAGGUGAAAUUCGUAGAUAUUGGGAAGAACACCGGUGGCGAAGGCGGCUAUCUGGACCGACAUUGACGCUGAGGCGCGAAAGCGUGGGGAGCAAAC
rnacentral:rRNA from 1 species